CCUAAUACAUGCAAGUCGAGCGAUGAGGCUCCUUCGGGAGUACAUCGGCGGCGAACGGGUGAGUAACACGUAGGUGACUUGCCCCGAAGAUGGGGAUAACCUCUGGAAACGGGGGCUAAUACCCAAUGUGCUCGGUGAUUCGGUUGAUCGAGUAAGGCUCCGGCGCUUCGGGAGAGGCCUGCGGCCCAUCAGCUAGUUGGUAGGGUAACGGCCUACCAAGGCAGAGACGGGUAGGGGGCGUGAGAGCGCGGACCCCCACACUGGCACUGCGACACGGGCCAGACUCCUACGGGAGGCAGCAGUAAGGAAUAUUGCGCAAUGGACGAAAGUCAGACGCAGCGACGCCGCGUGGGCGAUGAAGGCCUUCGGGUUGUAAAGCCCUUUUAUGGGGGAAGAGAAAAAGGACGGUACCCCAUGAAUAAGUCCCGGCUAACUACGUGCCAGCAGCCGCGGUAAAACGUAGGGGACAAGCGUUAUCCGGAUUCACUGGGCGUAAAGAGCGUUGAGGCGGUUCCGUAAGUUGGGCGUGAAAGCUCCGGGCUUAACCCGGAGAUGUCGUUCAAUACUGCGGGGCUUGAGGACAGCAGAGGAAGGUGGAAUUCCCGGUGUAGUGGUGAAAUGCGUAGAUAUCGGGAGGAACACCCGUGGCGAAGGCGGCCUUCUGGGCUGUUCCUGACGCUGAAGGCGAAAGCUAGGGGAGCGAACGGGAUUAGAUACCCCGGUAGUCCUAGCUGUAAACGAUGGACGCUGGGUGUGGGGGGUGUAAAUUCCCUCUGUGCCGAAGCAAACGCGUUAAGCAUCCCGCCUGGGGACUACGGCCGCAAGGCUAAAACUCAAACGAAUUGACGGGGGCCCGCACAAGCAGCGGAGCGUGUGGUUUAAUUCGAUGCUACACGAAGAACCUUACCUGGGUUUGACAUGCACGUGGUAGGGAACCGAAAGGGGACCGACCUUCGGGAGCGUGCACAGGUGCUGCAUGGCUGUCGUCAGCUCGUGCCGUGAGGUGUCGGGUUAAGUCCCGUAACGAGCGCAA
rnacentral:rRNA from 1 species